rnacentral:tRNA from 1 species
AAGAAUAUCGUACAAUGGUAGUACAAUGAUCUCCAAAGUCAUUAAUGUUGGUUCGAUUCCAGCUGUCUUGU